rnacentral:rRNA from 1 species
UACGAACUGUGCGAACGUUAUUCGGAAUCACUGGGCUUAAAGGGUGCGUAGGCGGCGGCUCCAGUCAGGUGUGAAAUCCCCCGGCUCAACCGGGGAACAGCGCUUGAAACUAGGUCGCUCGAGUGAGGCAGGGGUGCAUGGAACUUCCGGUGGAGCGGUGAAAUGUGUAGAGAUCGGAAGGAACGCCGGCGGCGAAAGCGGUGCACUGGGCCUUGUCUGACGCUGAGGCACGAAAGCUAGGGGAGUGAACGGG